CAUUACUGAGAGGUCUAAAAAACCCCUAGUUGGGGGUCUCUUCCCCUCUAGUAGUUCCUCACAGUUUUGUGCAAAGUCGGGUCAACUUGGUUGGCUCUGCCUUGUGCUGUAGAUCUGGUUGUUGGCAUAGAGACCCUCCUUUUAGGAGACUUGUGCCCCUACUAAGAUCUAGGCUGCUUGAAAAGAGACGUAUGGACCCUUCUUUCAGGAGACCUAUGUCUCGAGUCAAAGCAAGCAAGGCAAGCCUUUGGGGCUCUAGUACUAACUAUCCCCAAAGGUGUUUUUUCUUCUCGUGUAAACCAUGAUGUACGAAAAAGUUAGUUGUUAACUUAAAAACAACUCUUGGCAAUGGAUCUCUUGGUUCUCGCAUCGAUGAAGAGCGUAGCAAAGUGCGAUAAUUUUUGCGACUUGCAUUCAUAGCGAAUCAUCGAGUUCUCGAACGCAUCUUGCGCCUAGUAGUCAAUCUACUAGGCACAGUUGUUUCAGUAUCUGCAACUACCAAUCAGUUCAACUUGGUUCUUUGAACCUAAGCGAGCUGGAAAUGGGCUUGUGUUGAUGGCAUUCAGUUGCUGUCAUGGCCUUAAAUACAUUUAGUCCUAGGCAAUUGGCUUUAGUCAUUUGCCGGAUGUA
rnacentral:rRNA from 1 species